GAUGAACGCUGGCGGCGUGCCUAACACAUGCAAGUCGAACGGAGAUUACGGACGGAAGUUUUCGGAUGGAAGCCUGUAAUUCUUAGUGGCGGACGGGUGAGUAACGCGUGGGCAACCUGCCCUAUACAGGGGGAUAGCAGCUGGAAACGGCUGGUAAGACCGCAUAAGUCGGUUAAAUCGCAUGAUUUGAUCGGGAAAUGAGCAAUCAGGUAUAGGAUGGGCCCGCGUCCGAUUAGCCAGUUGGCAGGGUAACAGCCUACCAAAGCGACGAUCGGUAGCCGGACUGAGAGGUCGGACGGCCACAUUGGGACUGAGACACGGCCCAAACUCCUACGGGAGGCAGCAGUGGGGGAUAUUGCACAAUGGAGGAAACUCUGAUGCAGCGACGCCGCGUGAGUGAAGAAGUAUUUCGGUAUGUAAAGCUCUAUCAGCAGGGAAGAUGAUGACGGUACCUGAAGAAGAAGCCCCGGCUAACUACGUG
rnacentral:rRNA from 1 species